rnacentral:misc_RNA from 1 species
UCCACUCUGAACAAUUUUGGGUUAAAAUAUAAAAAUAUAAAAAACAGAACUGGGAAAAAAAAUUAUUCAUAACUAAUACAAUUCAGUGCAGAUGAGUUUCUAGCAGAUGAAUCAAGUGAAAAAUGUUAGCAUUAGGCAGAGUGUUUGCGCACACAGUAAGCAUAUGCAGUGAAUCAUUAUCCUAAGUGCAAUGAAGAUAAAUCAAGCCAAUGCAAUGGUGUUACAAAGAUCCUCAAAUUCUAGCAACACUGUGGUUCACUCAUUCAGAUUUCUCCAAACUUGAACGCUUUAACUGCCGGAACACCGGACAGCAUCUGUGGUGCCGGAUAAACAUGACAACAACAAAAGUAUUAGCAGCCAGAAACAGUAAGCUUGCUAGCCAAAGCUGUAGGAAAACAUUUUUGCCCUUAAAUUCAAGCAGAUAACCCCAGAACAACCAAUGGCUCUGAGCACCAAUCCAUACAAGCGUGCAAUAUAUGCCUACCCACCUCAGCUUCAUAUUGCUCCAUGGAAGUGUCAAUGGCAACAAGCAAAAGAACCAGACAAAGUACUGUGCCGUGAUUACCUAAAAAAAGGGAUAGAACCCACACAGUUGAAAACAUCAAGUAGGUUAUAAAAAUUUUCUGAAAACAUGAUUCCAGAAACCAGAGUUAUAUAUCAAGAGUGGAAGAGUGCAUUUUGACUAGUUGUAACAGAAACUUGAUUUCUUCCUCAAUUUCAAUAAAAAUAAAUAAAAGGAAAAUAAGGGGAAACAUAUCUCAUUUUGCAUAACUAGAAACAAGAAAGAUGUGAAAUUCGAUAAAGAUGCAUUUGAACGAUAAUAACAAACCUUGUUGAAUGCUACAAACGCCACUGUCUGUAGGAAAAAGCAAAAUGGAAGAUCUGGUGCAAAGCAGAAAAUGAGAACCAGCUGCACUAUCAGUUGAGGCAGAAAUGAGAUAAGUUUUUCCACCAUUGAAAAUUCACGUUCAUAAUGGAGAUAUAUGUGAUAGAAAUAGAUGGAAAAAUUGUGUCUUGGAUCUGUACGAGUGAGAUGGUAGAGCAGUGCCUCAUUUAAGAACUCCCAUCCAUACAAGUAGAAAAAAAGAGCAGUACAAGAGAGAAAAACAGCUCCUGAAAUCAUUCCAAACAUAAUUCUCUCUCUUGUAAAUAUCCUUUUCAACACAGUCCAUAUACCAAAUUCCCCAGGUCCUUCUGUACUCUGUGAUGUCUUCUGUUGACUGGAUUUCCAAUUCACAAGAAGAGGCUUCUGACCAGAUUGGAAGAAGCAUUGAUCAAGAACCAAAACAAUAGGGAGUGCAUAGAUUAUAGGAUAAAUUCUGAAAUGGACAACUAGUCCAUACCAAACUGCAGCUUGGACCACAUUACCUAUAUAACAGAAAAAAGAACAGCAUAAAAAGUAUUAGAUGUAUAAAAGAACAAGGGAAGUUGACAGUACCCAAAACAGAGAGAGAAACUCAAAGAACCUGAACCCCUUCAAUUUCUAAUGGAUUUGCUUCAAAGCAUAUAAUUAAUUAUAGAUAUUCUUGCCUUUGAAAAUUCAACAAAGUUCAAUUUCAAUGUACCAAGCUCAAAAAGAGUUCCAGCCCCUAAAACUUGUUUAUUGAAAAUUUAAAGCAUUUAAUUUUUCUUUGUCUUCAAAAAUACUAGCCAAGGAAACAAUUAUCAUUUUAGUUGUUGAGGAAAAAUAUCAAAUAUUUAGCAUGUAAUUGUCAAAUUAGACAAUGCGAGUGAAUCACACAAACUAGAGAACAUAUUAUUAAUAUCUAGGACUAGUAGAGUAUUUUCUUUCUCCAAGCAUAAAUCCAUCACACAUUCUGAGAGACAGUUCAGACAAUUAAGUUUCCUUCAAGUUCAAGGCUGCAACAAGAACUUGCUCCCUGAAUUUAAAGUUUAUGCAUAUCUUGAUGGCAAAUUGGCGAUAUUGCAACCCAUUUUAAAUGCAUCAAUAGAAACAAUUUAAAUUGGUUAACAAGUUGAUGUUUUAAAAGAAACCAGCAACAUCAUCUAUUUCAGUAUAGGAAUGUAGAAGUAGAAAUAUACCAUCCAUAAGACAGAUAAUGGUCCACAAAAUCAUGGCACAAACAAUGGGCUCACAGUUCCCACGGGUUCCAAUUGUGAAGGUAAAUGGAUUGAGGAGCCAUACCAUUACAGAAUAUAAGCAAAGAUCCUCAGGCACCUUACGACGCUUCAAAAUGUUGUGGAUAAACAAGCCCACAAGUAAAUCUGCAAUACGUGCAUAUUAAUCACAGCUAAAAAUAAAAUCAUUAGGAAGGGAGAGGAGGAGGAAGCGGGGGAGGGGGAAGAGAAAAAGCAAGUCAAUCCAGAUAGAAAGAGUUUGCGUGCAGUUAAAUUAUAAACUUCUUUCAUGUUUCCAUCAAAUGAACUGUGGGAAUAACAAUCAAUGGUGUGGGAAAAAAAUCAGAGUUGCUGUAGAACAGAAAUUUACUCCGUUAUGAUUCCACAUUAUCACCACUCAGAUAGGAUAGCCUAAAGACAAUGGAUUAGUUUAGCAGAAGCUAUUUAAGCAAGUUGGUGCUAGUUUUUCUUCAAAUUCAUUACCAAAGCAAUCUGAAAUUCAAGGCAAACAAGGAUGAGUAAAUAAUCUAGCAUCACAUUGGUGUUGCUAAGAAUCACUUACUAUUAACUCUUAAGCAUUGCAUCUAAAAGAACGAAGCAUUACGCAUACAAAUUUUAGUAUGGCAUACAAAGCUGAAAAAUUUUACCCGAUGCAAAGUAUGCGAGGAGAUAUUUUUGGAGAGUAACGUGUUCUGUACUUGUUUGACAUAUAGAAUUCUAUAUGUGAAAAACUAUUAACACAGAUAUCCCAACAUGGAUCCCCAAACAAAGAAGCUAUCUAUAAAAUGAAGAGAAAGGGGGUGAAGGGGGAAUUUUACUACGUAAAAUACCAUAAACCAAAUCAUGCUAGGAAAACAAGCCAAAGUAUUAAAUAGAAAUUUUAAGUUGGAAACUUUACUUACCUAAAGCAGAGAAGAGGAAUUUACCCCAUGAGCGAUGAAUAAUGGAAUUGGGUAUGAGCAGAAAAGCGAGCAAAGGUGAAUACCGGUAAGUACUUCUUUUGUAAGGGGAUUCUCCGGAAGCCAUUAACGAGGCAGCAUCAGAAAAGACAAGGUAAUCCACAUCUGUAUAUCUAACUUCCAUAUGGGUAUCUUGCCAUUCUCCAUAAAUUAUCAAAAUGAGUCGAAAAAUUGCUGAGAAUAGUAGUAAUUGGUUCAUGUUUAUCCAUGUCAUAGCUGCUACACUUUGUGAACUCUCCGUUUUGUCUCAUAGAUAUCUCUCUCUCUAAAACAAGUGAAAAUGACCAGAAACUUAAUGACUGAUCCCCAUUUUGGCAAAUCACUGCGCCGAUGGGUCGCCGCUAGAAUCCAACUGAAAACGCAAUAUAACGCCGCUGCUCGUGAAUCAACGCCUGGACCAGGCGCCUCCGUUGGCAGAGCAGAAGCUUGUGCAGCGCGGUUCUUCGACUUCUUUGUACUCGGAGUCGCCGCAGGUUGAGGAAGAGAUUUUGGUCUGAUGGCGGAGAGCUCACCAGUUCUAUAGGAUAGAUUACAGAUGAUAAAUAUUAACCUGAACCAAACCGUAAAAAGCCGGUUUUGAUCUGAUUUAAAAUCAAUUUUAAUUUUGAUUUUGAUCCGAUUUUGACCGAACUGAUUCCGGUUCAAAACCAGACCGUAGCCACCCCUAUGUAGCAGAGCGUUGGGUUUGGAGGGAUCGGCCAAGGAAGGUGCAGGACCAUGCAAGAGAGAAAAGGCCAAGUUCUGUUUUAGUAGAAGCAAUUAACGAGAUUAGAGUUGCCAGAUGUUGUAAGUGGCGUCGGCAGUGGUGAUGGUGGAGGAUGGUGGUUAUCGAUAGAAGCAGUGGUGGGGAUUGGCGGAAGCAAGAGGGAAAGGGCUAUCGUGAGUUUAAGGGAGGACUUGCGUUUUGGGGCAGAGAAACAGAGGAAUAGAGAUGGGGAGGGUAAUUUUGGAAAGAAAUAUUUU